GAGUGGGGAGGGGAGCUGUGAAGUGCUGUCUUCUGGAUCUGACAUGGCUGUCACACCCACAAGCUCACAGCAGCUCUGGUUGCCUGCCGGAAGUCAAGUCAGUCAACAGACAGAACCAACUGGAUGAAUAGGUUAAUGAAGAGAAAAAGAAAAGGACACGAAGCCGGCUUGGAUGGUAGAGGAUGAUGUCCCCAAAAGAUUCAAAUGUGACCCGGAUAUGUCUGCAUGAAGUCUCGACUUUAAGGGGAGAGGUGGGAUCCGCCUUCUUUUUGACACAUCUGUCUUGACUUCCAGCCGCUCGCAGGUCCACCCACCCACCAUCCAGCCACCCUCAAUGAACACAGAAGAAGUGAACCCGGUUUAAGGGUUAACAGGCACACCCUGCUCUGCCAGGCCUGACCCAUCAUCAGCAUCCCAGAACCAGAAAUAACGCCGGGAGAGCCAUCCCAUCAAUUUCCUUCCCACAACGGCUGGGCUCCAUCCCAACCGGAGUGACAUAUAACUCAGUGGCUCUGUUCUAAACAGGGAUGUUCCCCCAUUCUUCUACAAGGUUAAAUGUUUUGAUCUCCUGGCUCUGUAACACAAUGUCCUAACUUUUGGUCCGCAGGACAGGCCUACUACAUUCAAGUGGCUGUAACCCUACCCCCUCCUCCCUCUCUCUAAGGGCUAAAUUGUAUCUGACAUUUUCACAGAUACUGAGAUUGAUGCUUCGUUGAGAGAUGCAGAGGUGAAGUCAGCCAUGUAUGAAGCAUGGAGACACAGCGGGGAAUGUGGUUGUGAUGUGAGAGAACAAUGAGAGGGAAAUGGCUGCGUGAGACGGCAGUGGACGAGACAACAGAGGGUUUGACCAUGGACAAAAGGGCUGAGCAUCCAGGAGGUGGUAUCCAGAGCCAUCCAGCAGUUGUCCCCAGCCUUGAGAGGUGCUGAGAAACCCCAGCCUGCCUCUGCAUCCUGGGGAGCUGCUCUCACGAUGGCACACACCUGUUCAGCAACACAGACCGAAGAGGGGGCCUCCGACAGGAAGCCACAUUGCACAGCGUGGGGACAGACGUGGAGGCAUCGACGAUUUCAGCACAGCACAACACAGUCCCUGCCGCGUGGUCGUGGGACUUCAGAACACGCGAAGCUACUAACUUAAUCAGCAGCAGUGAGCUCAUAUGGAGAAAGGGGGUGAAACGCCUAGAACAGAGGUCCUGGGGUCUCGAACAGCUCUUCAACUUAAUCAAGCGAUUGCAUCCCAAGGGCUUCAGAAUAAAGACUUCCGGAGGGGGGAAAAUGUAGAUUUUGACAAAGGACGAUGCUCUGUUUUCCCUAGAGCCAAAGCACCAGCUGGCACAGGGUACUGCCACCCUUACUAAAACUGAGUGGAGAAAAUUCCUGGCUGCCAUACAGCCUACAGGGAUCACCAGCAUUGUGGAGGGCCCACGAAGGAUUGGAUUGGCCACAUAGUCAGACUGAGCCCUUCACAGAGGCCCCGCCCACCACCGGCUCCAAGCCCUCAGCUGGUGCUCUAGAAUGGAGGUUUUUGCUUUAAUUUACUUUUAAUUUUAAAAAUAUAGAUUUGUAUUUUAUUG
rnacentral:lncRNA from 1 species